AAGUCUGGGGUAUUGUAUUUACCUUAUUCAAAUUUGCACUUUGAUAUACCAGACC
rnacentral:tRNA from 1 species